AGCAGAGUGGCGCAGUGGAAGCGUGCUGGGCCCAUAACCCAGAGGUUUGAGGAUCGAAACCUUGCUCUGCUA
rnacentral:tRNA from 1 species